rnacentral:rRNA from 1 species
UACGUAGGAGACGAGCGCUGUCCGGAGUUACUGGGCGUAAAGGGCGCGCAGGCGGCGGCGCGCGUGGGGGGUGAAAUCGCCCGGCUUAACUGGGCGGGGGCCUUCCAGACGGCGUGGCUUGAGCAGCGGAGGGGGACGGGGAAUUCCGGUGGAGCGGUGAAAUGCGUAGAGAUCGGAAAGAACACCAACGGCGAAAGCGCUCUGCUGGGCCGUCACUGACACUGAGAGACGAAAGCUAGGGGAGCGAAUGGG